UUGCAACACUGCAAGUGACAAGUGAUGGUUAAUGAGGGUGCAGCCUACGGCGACAGUAGGCGGAGAUGGGGGAGAGAGAUCCACGAGGUGGCAUAAAAUGAAUCUCGCAUCGGUUGGAUGCAGACAGAAGCAGGGUGGGAAGUGAAUAUUAAUUACAACGGUGAUUUGAAAACAAAGUAUGUUCAUAAAAUCGUUUUGCUGACCUGUCCGUUUCUAGAGCACUUACUCCUGGAAGCAUCUCGUGUUGGGGAUGAGAACACUGAAGCCGCGUGGCGAACAUCAGAGCACAGGCCUUCGGCUCCUUCUGUUACGUCAGUCCGGCACCCAGAUUGGAGCCCGAGUGGCGAGGCCACUAAAUUUGGUAGUGCGACCAAGAGUAGAGUAAGCUUCGGAGCACAGGUCUUGUUUUCCUUCUAGGUCAUUUGAGCUCCAGGUGCUGCAGAGCAGCUGGAAAAGCACCGCUACCCCUCGGAGAGAUCAAAGCGCAAAGCAGAGUGAGAGGUCUACGUGUUUGCAAGAACACCAUCGUGCAGACAGCAGACCCCGGCGACAGCCCGCACUUGGAACGUUGGAGACGGAGAGAAAUCCAAGAAUAGACUGGGAAGGCUUUUGAAGAAGUGGAUACAAACCAGGCAGAUAUCACAUCGAGGACCGCCUAAGAAGGGAAAUUAAGGAAAGAAUCAUGGUCAUUUGUGUCAAUGACUGUACAUUCUAGGAACGGAGGACUGAAAAAGUUUGCAUUUUUUAUGAGACUGAGCGCAGCCCCCCAACCCCCCGGAGGAAAGAAUACACAGCCGUCUUCCCCGGACGGCUUAAAUCUUCCCCCGCCCGCCAGAGGGAAAGGUUUGGACCAGAUGAGUCCGGGGCCCCAACAUGAGCCUACACACUUUGGUCUCCUAUACUCUUGGCGGGCCAUUCUUCUUCCAUGGAGGUAUGACAAAGGUGUGUGUAGGAGGCUUGGAGAGCCAGUCUGUAGUCAGGGAAGGUGCUGGAGAAUGUCCCAGGUAAGCAGAACUAGAUGGCAGGUUUCAAAGACCUUGAAGAGGCACUCGGUGGCUACACAAACAUCAGUGUGCAUGGUAAUCACUGGCUGAUGAGGCAGGAGAUCUGGAAGGAGGCCUGCGAGUCUUUCUCUCCAGCCAGCUUCUAGGUAACGUCUAUGGUCUGGGUGUCUGACCACACUUGGAGCUCCAAAGAUCUAGAGCAGAAGCUAUAAACUGGGAGGCCUGGAACCACAUAUUAAAUUCAAGUGUCUUUUCUCAGAUCAACAUAAUAUUCUUAAAAAUGAGAAUUAGUUGACCACAUUUAAAAAUCUGAAAAUUUCACAUUGGGGAAAAAAAAAUCCAAAUUCAGUCUUCUUUUGAGAAACCUCAGGAUCUCUGGCCAUCCUUGACCUACACUCUCACAGAGCUGUCCUAUACCUGCCCGAAUUAGCAGGGUGGGUGCCCUCCAGGCCUCCCAGACUCGCCUCCCCUCUCAUCAUUCGUGCUGCCUGCUGGCCUCUGCAGAGGUUUCCAUUCCUGAUCUAGAGCAAGCCCCUUAUUCGACAGAAGGGAAACUGAGGCCAGAGAGUGGGGCCGGAGAUGGGGGAUGCUCUUCCUGUAUCCAGCAGUGUCUCAUUUCUGCUUUCCUGGAUUUGCCAGCUCUGCAAGAGGUUCAGGAAGCCCCAGAGAAUGGCCAGGGACCCUUGCGCAGCAUCACGAGGAGACCAGCAGCAGAGACUGGGAUCCACGACCCGGGGUGCUGUGCUGGCUCUUUCCCCAACGACGCGCAGCCCUCCUCGUCCCUCUCCUUGAUGAAAUGCCAGUCCAGGAUUUGAAGCAGCUUGCAUCUCGCAUGGACAAGGGAUCAGAUGGGAAGGAACAAGUGCGCCUCGUCCGAGCUCACCCAUCUAUGAGUGGAGGAGCAGAAUGAGAACCCAGACCCACGAGCUCCACAUCUGUCCCUGUCCCAACCGCAUGCUGCCUGAGCCACCCCCCCCCAUCAGUACCAAAGAGAGAGCAGAGAAUGAGCAAACUGAACAUGACAAUGAACAUGAAAUUAGCAAGCAGUGCUGCCAGCCUGUCUGCUUCCAGGUCGUCUGUCCUUCACUUUUUUGAGCCCCGAGCACCAUUUCAGAUGACAGCAGCCUCCAGCAGACCACGAGAUCACGUCUUCUUAACCUCUGGAAACACCAGAGCUCGAAGCAGGCAUGAGCUCUACACUGCUUCCGGAAAGAUGGGCAGGAUUAAGAGAGGGUGGUACAUUUGUCUAACAAAUGCUUAGAAACCAAAGAUAAACAUUUACCUCCUUAAGCUGAAUGAAGUUACAGAGGACAAUUUGUCUGAUUGUAGAUGCUUUGGAAAUAAAAAUUUGGACAAAUCCUGUGCAAAGAGCCUGGAUGUAGGUGGUUGAUGGGUUACCCUCCAAAUUUACAUGCAGAGAUGGUGGUAGAAGGAAUGUAGGGAACACUGAGGGACACAUGUCCUUAUCAGUCCACCUGAUAUAACCGAUACCAAUAUGGACACCCGUGUGUGUGUGCAUGUGCGUGCACCUGUGCAUCUGUGCACGUGUGUGUAUGUAGUAGUAGUAGCUAGAUGAUUUGAGAUAAUUGUUUGAAAGGGUAGACUGUUAAGAAUCUGCAUACAUAAAUAUGAAUAUAUGGGAAGAAA